UACGAAGGGGGCUAGCGUUGCUCGGAAUUACUGGGCGUAAAGCGCACGUAGGCGGCUUUCUAAGUCGGGGGUGAAAUCCUGGAGCUCAACUCCAGAACUGCCUUCGAUACUGGAAAGCUCGAGUCCGGGAGAGGUGAGUGGAACUGCGAGUGUAGAGGUGAAAUGCGCAGAUAUCGGGAGGAACACCAAUGGCGAAGGCAGCUCGCUGGGACGGUACUGACGCUGAGACGCGAAAGCGUGGGGAGCAAACAGG
rnacentral:rRNA from 1 species